AGGGAAGUUUUACCUAUCUGGGGUAGAUGG
rnacentral:piRNA from 1 species